GCAGUGGAGUAGAUCAGACGUGUUCAGUGGAUCAUUCGAGAGAUGGUAAAAAUUGUAAAAAGUGAAAAAAUGUGACAUCAUCAACCAACCCCGUUCAACAACUGAAUGCUAUAAUUCAGUGUAUACUGUGCUCAGUUUCAAGUGCCGAAAAGAAAAUUAUUGGUAUUUUUCUGCCAGAACCAGUGAAAGUAUAAUUUUCAACUGUGAAAAAAUGGCGUUUCCCUGCAACGGGUGCCAACGUUUUGAGGAAGCCAUCUUGGAAAAAUAAAAUGGCCGCUUGCCAAACCGCAUUGCGGAGGCUGGAAAAUCGAAAAUUGUCUCCCUCAUCGAUUCAUUCUCAUGCUGAUGCUCACAGGAAAGGCAUUGUCAAAAUGCAUCUCAGAGCAUACCAACGUGUUGGGGGAUUGAAUCGAUAUAUUGAUCAACUGCAUUCUUUAGCUGACCUAUAAAAACGGAUUUCUAUCCGAAGGGCCAAUAUGCAGUGAUUGUAGUAAGCGAUUAACUUUAGCAAAUAAUGCUGUUUUGCAUAGCGGAGGCAACAAACGGGAAAGUUUUCCUUUUACUGACUCACAUGCACUCGAGAAUGACCGAAUAUCGAAAUUCAUCUCUAAGCAUGUUUCGUUCUGUUACUCAGUUUCCCUGCAAAAACGGAUGACACUUCGGAACGUCAAACCGGCGUCAUGGAGAUCAAUACUUCAGCCUGUUCAAGAAGCUGAACGAUAUGGAGAGAGCCGUUCUCAUGAGCUGAUGGUCUACAAGCAUCUGGUAAAAUUCAUUUCAUCUGUAAUCAGUCUCAUUAGACGUGUAAGAAAACAAUUUUUUUUUUCACAAACUCUCAAUGGGGCGAAAAGGGUUUGAUGGCGCCCACUAAAUCAAACUGUAGUUAGUCUCAGAUACUACCAUUGUAAGUUCUUUUUAAGUUCUAUUUCUAUUAUUUUUACGACCACUGUAAUUUCUCUAUAUAUUUCUAUUUACAAUUCGUAUCCGCGAAGGCAGACAUCAGUUUGCUCUUCUCUUCAAAACUAGGUCGUUUUAGAAUAUUUGCCGACUAAAGCAUAAUUCUAACUACACAAAAGUACCAACCGUUGAAAUUUCGAAGAAAUUCUAUAGUUUAUCCUAGUUUGCCACUGAAUAAAAACAGUGGCAUAACGCGAAUGCAUACAAAAUGUCGAAUGCAGGUCGUUUGCAGUAAUGAUCUUUAUUAGAAAAAAAAGUUACGUGUUAACAACACAAAAACGUUCACUCUUUGACAGUCACACGCAAUUUAAAAAAAUCGACGAAGGUAUUGAAAAACAACACUAAAGGCUUGUGGAAUAUACGCAACCACUAAAAUUUCUCAAUAUUUUCUAUUUCCUAUUCGUAUAUCCUGGUCACGGCAUCAUAUGAUGUGCUCACACUGUGGAUGCAUUUGGUGCCCCCUGGUGGAAAUAAUUAAGAAAAAAUGCUCCGGGUGCAUUUUUUCUCUACGGUCAGCUUUGAUUUUUGUAGCAUUGACAUUUUGCUCCAAAGUAGUCUUGUUUUCACGUCUUUGUGUUUUUCGCUCGAUUCACGAUACUGUAUUGUAUUUUAUUAUCUAUAUUCAUACUUGCGCAAAACUUCUAUCCGAUAAUUAUCCAACAGAUGUAUUUCGAAACGAGACAUUAUACUUAAAUGAUAUUUUCUUGAACGAUUGUGGUUCAAUAUAGCAGUGCAACUCUAACUGGAGUUCCCAGGCCACUGUUGUUUCUCUAUAUAUUUCUAUUUACAAUUCGUAUAGAUUUUGGAGCCCUGUGAUAUUGUGAUAUUGAAAUUUCGUUGCAGUGCCCAUGAGGAUAAAACCAAUCACUAUAGUUUCGGAUAUGUUUUAGAAAUUCGUUUUUUGUUAGGUAUAAAGACUGAGACCGUAACUGUAGCUUGUCGUUAGGAAUUCAUUAUAUAAUUUUCCCAAUUUGAUCCUAUCAGUCGUGCGUUGUUUUUACGCUCUCUUUUCUUUCGAUUACGAUAAUUUCUCAAUACUUUCUAUUUCCAUUGGAGUAAGAAUUUUGAGUUAGGUGAUAAAUUGAAUAACCUUUACACGCAAGGUAAGAAAACUGAACGACAAUGCUGCACCAAUUACUGAAAUUUCUCAAUAUUUUCUAUUUCCUAUUCGUAUGCGACCAGGUAUUUGGUAUGGUACGAAUCCAUGUAGCAAAAAAAACACCAUCUGGAAAAAAGAGUGGCAUGCCAAAAUCGUGCUUAGACAUUCAACCUAGCACAAUAACUGUAAGUUCUUUUUAAGUUCUAUUUCUAUUAUUUUUGCUUGGAUUAACGGCAACGAAUAAAGCAAAAUAAAAACCCUUGAGUCGUAAUCCCUGCUGCGAAAAAGAAUUUGUAAAUCUCUUCAAAACUAGGUCGUUUUAGAAUAUUUGUGUAUUCAGACGUUGAGCUGGUUUACGACCAGCUUCGAUCACUUUAAAUUCUUUUUAAGUUCUACUUCCAUUAUUUUUGCUGGAAUAUAAGACCCCAAAUUUUUAUUCUUCUAAAAUCAGAUCGUUCUAGACGGUUCCCAGGAACAAAGGUUCCUGAUGUUGACAUUCUUCCUAACAGAAGAAUUUGCUGAUCUCUUCAAAACUAGGUCGUUUUAGAAUAUUUGCUUGCAUCGUAGCUUCGAAAAUAGCUAUGUGCAAACUGAGGAAGUGACAACGAAGUCUCAGUAGCACCAAGCAGUUUCCAGUUAUUCUGCUAAACUAUUUUUACUUAAAGUUAAGACCCCGAAUUCUUAUUCUGUUCCGACUGACGACCCAGAAACAGAGGUUCUUGAUGUAGACAUUCGAGGCUCAACAGAAGAAUUUGCUGAUCUCUUCAAAACUAGGUCGUUUUAGAAUAUUUACGAGAACCUGAAUGUUCACUGCGUGUCAUAUUUGACGAGAGAAAUUCUAAAAAGCACUUCCAAUUGUGGAAACGAAGUGCGAUCGAUUUAAUGGCUUUCUUAGUAUUGUGUAAUUUUGCUUUUGUUUACAAUCGCUUCGAACACUUUGGAAGCUUGUCACGAUUGAACUUUUUCACGGUUGAAACUCAACAUUACGUGGUGUUCAAAAAGAACGGAUUUAAUCACUGUAAUUUCGGAUAUGUUUUAGAAAUUCGUUUUUUGACUUUAAAUCCCUAUAUGAUUUUGUCUUUGCCUUUACGAAGUUGAACAUAAACUGUUUAAUUCUGCUGAAAAUUGUUACAAUGAAAGAAAUAGCAUGAAAUGGCAUUUGUCUUUGCCUUUACGAAGUUGAACAUAAACUGUUUAAUUCUGCUGAAAAUUGUUACAAUGAAAGAAAUAGCAUGAAUGUCAAACGUAGGUAUAAAGUGUAGUACACUAGGUGGUUAUGUUUUAGAAAUUCAUAUUUUACCAAACGGUGUAAUUAGAGAACCAACAAUAUGUGAUUUCUUUCAAAUUCUAUUUCAAUUUUUUAAGAAACAACUUUUAAAGUGUCUGUGAUACCUUUCUUAGUUAAACCACAAUUUCGUGUUGCACUGCAACCAUGCAGGAGCUCGUGAGUAAUGUGCGUUACAGUAGUCUGUUAUCGAAUACCUUAUGAGAAACCAACGAACUUUAAUUUCACAAUAUUACAAUAUGCAUUACAAAUUUGACCAUUUCGUGCAGUGCGUGUGUGAUAGAAUAUAAUAAGCUGUUAAAUGGUCCAAGCUACAACUUACCACUGUGAAAGGAAUCGGCGGUAUCUGAUAUCGAACCGUGAUAUUAUCACUACGGAAUAUUAUUUUUAGAACCGUGCGACGGUUUAGAGUAAAAUAGCUCUCUGUAUUUUAUUGUAAAACCGCAUUUCGCUUUUAUCAGAUUGGGGGAUUUACCAAAAGUGGUCAGUUUUUUUUCUGUUUCUGGCAAACCUUUCCCAAGUUAGUAUAUUUUCAAGAACAAAUGCUACGAAAAUUGUCAGUAAUGAAAGUGAAUGACAACAUCCGUUCUAUUAACAUAGAGUUAAUUAAAAAAAUGGAAAACUAUAAAUAUUGGAGCUGGGAUGUAUAUGUUUCGAACAACAGCACCAUUAACAAUCACUGUAAUUUCGGAUAUGUUUUAGAAAUUCGUUUUUUGUGAAGCAGUAUGUAGUGUUUGAUUUGUUCGGCAAACUGUACAAACGUUUGCUCACGAUCUUCCAUAGAGAUACACAACUUCAUUCAAUGCUGUGCGCGGUGAUGAUUCCAAUAGAGAAAUGACAUUCUAUUACGUUUAGAUUUCUUGUCCAGACUAACUAAGUGCAUUCCCUAGUAGUAUAGAAUGCUAGCAAUUGUUAUCGUACCGUGAUAUUAUCACUACGGAAUAUUAUUUUUGAUUUGUGAAGCAGUGCAGUCUAAAUAAGUCUAGAAAGAAUUCACGUUCAUGAGAGAAGAAAUAUGACUUAAAAUUUGCGAAUUAACUUGCUGUGGCUAUUUGGGCGGAUGAAAUUUUCCCUGCGGAUAUUUUGUCUCGUUAUAAGGUUUCAUUAAAAGUCGUCAUCAUAUGACCAAAGGUCGCAUGAGUGCGAAAACAGCAGCAUACACAUAUUAUGUGAUAUAAUGUGAGCAACACCUCUCAAGGAUAAUUUUUUUUUCUGAAGCUAUCACAAAACCCGAUCAGAAAGACAAAACAAAAAUUUGACAGAAGCUGUUAGCUUGUUAUGGUCCCGCUAGGUGUUAAAAUAACAGAAAUUAGGACAACAAUAGUUCUACUAAUAUCAAAUCCAUAUCAAACUUCGUCACGAACGUUUAAGCUUCCUAACAGAAUAAAAUAGCAUAUAAACAGUAUAAUAACAGCCACUGUUAGAAACAACAGGUUUCGCAAGGGACGAACAAUUUGUUAGACUUGUUUCAGAACAACUUAAUUUCUGGAUUUUUCACUAUAACUCAUUAAGAUCCAAUUUUGUUUUCAAAAGCGUGUGGGAAAAUACAAAAUCGUAUCAAAAUAUGUUCUUUGUAUCUUCUGUUGAUAGAAUUUUGUAAUAUUUUAGUUAUGCUCUUCUGAUCGGGAGGCAACCUUAUAUAAGGCAUACCCAGGUGAUAAGCUUACGUAACUAUAUAUUGAAUCGAACACCAAUCACAGAAAUUUCUCAAUAUUUUCUAUUUCCUAUUCGUAUAUAAAUCGUUUACUACAACCGCGUUUACAAGCCGCGAAACAAACCUCGUUUGUCUCAACACAAAAACGUUCACUCUUUGACAGUCACACGCAAUUUAACUUGACUUUAUGGAGAUAGAAGACAUACGACUUACAAUUUGCAAAUUAACUUACUGUGACAUUCUAAAAGAAACCGACCGUUAUCUUAGUUCUAGAAUUCUCUGAAAGUCGUCAUCAUAUGACCAAAGGUCGCAUGAGUGAAAACCCAAGCAUUUCGCUAUGCUGAAUAGAUCACCAAUUACAGAAAUUUCUCAAUAUUUUCUAUUUCCUAUUCGUAAAGGAUAUUCAUCUUUGGAAAUUUGCAGGGUAUUCAAUAAAUAAUAAACAUCAUCGGAAGAAUGAUCGUUUUUAUUGAUACUUAAGCAUUUUCCGCCGAUGUAAACUCGCGCUCGUUACAAUGACUCGGGGGGAGGGUGGAUCUAAAAUCAGAAAGGAAAUGUUAUUGUUUUGUGUGUUUGAUUAUACCACAUUCGUAAGUGGAUCAUACAAAUUAGGCUAUGUGGCACGAAAAAGAAAUGGUUGGGGAUAACCUUAACAACCCGUGGUCACUGAGGUGAUAACGAUCAUGGCAGCGGAUCGGUUUUUGAAGCGUGAUAUUAUCACUACGGAAUAUUAUUUUUAUUAAUGUAAAUGUUUUCGCCAUAAAGUCGUCAUCAUAUGACCAAAGGUCGCAUGAGUGCCAACAGAAACAAUCACUGUAAAUUCUUUUUAAGUUCUAUUUCUAUUAUUUUUAUUCUAAAUGCGUUUUGCAUUGGAGUAAUUAAUCACCACUGUAAUUUCGGAUAUGUUUUAGAAAUUCGUUUUUUGUGUUUGCUCAUUCUAUUAAGCUUGAAAUUAUUAACCUCAAAGACCAAUUCAGUCCUGUCGCGGUCGCCAUGUGGGUUUGGGAUAACUGUUGGAAUGACUUGACGAGUUUAAAGUGGCAUAAGAAUAAGUUCGUUAAUUUUCUCUUAUCGAUACAAAGUCGUGUACAUACAAAUGAAGCGCGAGCCUUUGCCUCAAAAAGAGAAUGAGAGAAUGAAAUGAUAAAAGAGACCUGGUAACAUGUACUUUUGACUUGAAUUGUAUGACGGUCGGUAACCCGUCGUGUACUGUCGAAUUCUGGUAAUUUGAGAACGGUCGUGGCUGAGUAACAAAAGUUGCAUCGUUGGCGGUUCGAACAUGGGCAAUUGAACUUGGGUGUUAUUGCUCACGUUGCAAGACCCAACCGAUGCAGUUUUGUAGCUGCUCACACACACACACACCUGUAGGCCUAUCGGCCUACGCAUACCCACAACAAAACAAACACCGAACCAUUCACUGCGCGUACUAGCGCGCGUGCAUGAUCGACAUAGCUAGCGUCAUCGAUCGUUGCAACAAGUAUAUCGAUAACGUUCUGAAGGAAAUCAUAGUAAACGGAAACAAAGUAACGAGAUAUUUGUUUGGAGUGUUGGGAUGGUUGUAAAGCUUUAAGUUAUAGACUUAUAAACUCAUGGAAAAGGAAAAGUUGGUAUUUUGUUGAUUCUAAUAUUUAAUUCAUGGGCACGUAAAUUGGGAAUUAAAACCUCACAAUUUUGUGGGUUUAAUUUUACCACAUUUCAAAUAAUGAAAAUGCUUUCGCCAAAAAGUCGUCAUCAUAUGACCAAAGGUCGCAUGAGUGCCAAAAGAAACAACUGCUGUAAAUUCUUUUUAAGUUCUAUUUCUAUUAUUUUUAUUCCAAAUGCGUUUUGCAUUGGAGCAAUUGAUCAUCACUGUAAUUUCGGAUAUGUUUUAGAAAUUCGUUUUUUGCGUUUGCUUGGUCUACAAAGCUCAAAAUAAAAAGUCAGUUUAAUUAUGUAGGUCGAUAUUUAAUGUAUUCACUUGUUCACAGUGCAGAAUUGAUUUCGAACCGUGAUAUUAUCACUACGGAAUAUUAUUUUUGUAUCUAAUAUAGUUAUUGUUCCUUCCACGGGAGCUCUACCAAAACUUAAAUAAAUGUAAAGACUUAUAAUGCAUAUUCUUGGGAGAACGAACUAUGGUGAAUCAAGAGAGUAAAGACCUCAAGGGUAUCCACCAGUACGGACCUAGUAACGCACAGAAUUGAACAACUCAAAAGUACGUGAACAAGUGUGCCGUUUUUUCAGUGAUUUUUGUCUUAUAUACUAUUUGUACAAUGUUAUCUCAACCUAUCCCAAUGGUAGAACGGAAGAGAAGGCUGAAGAGCCGGGCUCGAUAAUACACUACUUAUAUAACGCUUAUAAACCAACAAACUGUAGUUUCUUUCAAAUUCUAUUUCAAUUUUUUUGAAAAAAAUGCGUAAGCAUUGCAGUUGCAGUUGUAAACCGGGAGAAGAUUUUUUCUCGCUGUGAGAAUAUUUUUCAUCUGCUAAGCAAGAUUCAUUUCAAAACGUGAUAUUAUCACUACGGAAUAUUAUUUUUGCGUAGAAUGUUAAGAUUGUUCGGAUGUAAACUUGGUUGUUAAAAUUCGGUGAGAUAAAACCAAAGUUCACAAGAAUACCAGAAGGAAACAAUCACUGUAAGUUCUUUUUAAGUUCUAUUUCUAUUAUUUUUAACAAAGUUUUAAAUUAAAACUUUCAGGCAUCAAAUUAAAACAGAAAACAGUAAGAAAGUUUUUAUUGUUGCCCAAAUACAUACCACAUGGUUUUGUCAAUCUCUUCAAAACUAGGUCGUUUUAGAAUAUUUACGAACAGAAAAAUAAGCUAUUAUAUCCAAUCAACCACUAUAAUUUCGGAUAUGUUUUAGAAAUUCGUUUUUUGCGAAGAAGAAAUGCGAGUUAAACGAAGAACAAGCAAACAAAAACAUAACCUAUUACCAACACACUGUAGUUUCUUUCAAAUUCUAUUUCAAUUUUUUUGAAAAAAAAAAGUAUGAAUGAAGCAGAAGGAGCCAACGAAAUUGUCUCCAACGGAUCCUUCGAUUUUGUGAAAAAAAGCUAACUUGUUUACGAGGCUAGUUAUUUUAAUUUUUCGCAUUAUUCUGCAUCAAACUAUACAAUUUUAUUUUACCAACACACUGUAGUUUCUUUCAAAUUCUAUUUCAAUUUUUUUGCAGAACUUUUUAGUCUCAAAACAGAACUUUAGUCAAAUAAUGCAAAACUGGGCUUUGUAACGUGAUAUUAUCACUACGGAAUAUUAUUUUUGUCUAAAUUACAAAGAGUUCGCUUAAAGUCGUCAUCAUAUGACCAAAGGUCGCAUGAGUGGGUUUUGAAGUAAAACUCUUCAAACUGUAGUCCAAAUGAAAUUUAGUACAGGUGUAGAGGGCGCUGCGAGCCCCCCUACCGGGAUCUUGUGAUAAGGAUCGUGAUAAAAAAACACACACAAGAUUUCCGUACGUAUGGUCAGAAGAACCACACGGAAUCACUCUUAGAUAAAAAGAUUGACUUUAUACUCAGAGUGAGAGGUUUUCCUCUCCGGUCUCUGAGCUACCGUUUAUCUAGCUAUACUUUUCAGGCCUGCGCUCUCUCCCGGCCCAUUUCAUUUUUCGAACUUAAAAUCUAGAGCGUUAGUUAUUUUUAUUGAGCGUGGUAAACUUGCGCUCUGUAACACGCGCGCUAACUCGAGCGCUAAAAACCACGCGAGAACAUGAGCGACGCUGGGCGAGUUUUGUUUGUUUACCACCGAGUUAUGCAAUGUCUCGGUGGCUUUGGUUCAUCGCGGAAUGUAAAACGUUGGCAUAGCAGAACCGUUCGCGGUCUUUCUUCAAGAUCUCUUGUGUUUUCUUAACCAAUGAACUUAUCUUAGGGGACAAGGGCAGACGGCCAUGUCUCGGUUUUGCAUUCCAACUGUUUUUAUGUAAUUCAGCAGAAGGCUUUCAUUCUUCUGGGCUAAGCUAAAAACGUACCUUUAGGACCAAUAUUUUGUGACGGAACAAUGGGCUCUUUCGCAGGAUGUGACAUCACACAGGGAUUUGAGUUUGAUUUCUAGAUUGAGAGCUAAGAGCUACAACUGAACAAAUCGCUAUGAAUCCACGACACGCUUGUGUUCCUGAACAUUCAUUGCGAUCACAUUUUUUCCUAAAACUAACUGUACAUUUAAAGUUCUUAGUAUAUAAAACCACUGUAAUUUCGGAUAUGUUUUAGAAAUUCGUUUUUUACGGAUGAUUUUCAACAAAUGAGAAUGAACUAAGUUCGAAAAAUUUAGCAUUACGGAUCUAUUUGGAAAUGUCUUAGGGUGGGACAACGGCUAGUAAUAGUCACGCCAGGUGUCUACUGGGGUUCUUCGCGACUAAGUUGCGACUCCCAAAGCAUCCUCAAGCAAUUUUGUUCUGUUUUCGAAAUGCGAUAUUUGCCAUUUGAUAUUUGUACCCCGUUAACAGUUUGUAUACUCAAUCGAUCAAUAGGCUUAUCUUCUGAGUCAAUUUUCACUACAAUUUUCGUCUGGUCACCCACAAACGCAGCUAGUUCAUCCGUGUCGACUUCAGGAGUUAAGAAUAAUGAACGUCUUUCUUUAAAAGGGUUAGAUUCCUCGGGUUAUCUUAACCGGUGUGCAAAGGUCCUUUUCGCAUUCGAAAGGCUUAAACACACAAGGGACAACCUCUGAAAUCUAGCGUUCGGAUUAAGAAAGAUCUGUGCGAGUUCGUAUUUGCUAGUGGUAUGAUUUUAUUUGGUAGCAAAUCGGGUUUAUAUACAAAAAUUUACAAAUUGUAAUCUUACGAACUAUGCCUACGUAUGGAAGAGAAAAGAGAGAGAAAAUUCUCCUAAAGGAACAAAAGGAACGCGACAAAAUUUCUACUCGCCUAGUCAGGUCAAAUUUGCCUUUCCCUAAUCCGGUACCUGAACGGGAAAAAGGUUUCGAACGUUAUCGGCUUUCUUUACACGCGCCUACGACAACAUUCAUUCAGGUAGUUACAAUGUUUACAAAGCGCCGGAUUUGCAUUCCCUAUUUCCCUACUUAAGAUGAUAAUGCGUACGCAGACGCGCCGGCUGAUAAAAGGACUUAUCGCCCUUUUCUUUUAGCAUUGUCCGCCCGUAAUUCACAUAGUCAUUGACGCUGGCUAAACCUAACAGACUGAGAACAGAACAGAACAGAAAAUAGACCGCUAACGAAAUUCUAUACCUGCUUCUAAUCUAGCACCCGCACGAAGGGUCGGUCGGGGAUUAUCUAUGUAGCAAUCUCCUCUAUGAAGGGAACCUAUUGCGAUUAUUAAAUCUAUUCUAAUUCCUUUUAUAAGAACAAUAUUAAAUGAGUUGCUGAAUGACUAUAUUGUCAAGUUCUAAAUAAUGCGUUUGCUACAAUCCGCAUCGCCAUCAUAGGGCUGUACGAUGGAUGUCGCUUGCUUGACAAGUUUGUUUAGAUAUCGUCGUCAUUUUCGGUGUGUCAGUCGUUAACUUGUGGUUGUUUUCUAAUUUCCUGUGCAAUGUGAUUUUUGUAUUGUCUAAUAUCUUUUUAUAUUUCGUAUAAGUUAACAAACUGAAUGUGGCGUUCUCUAAAACUUCGCCAAGUUCGUCUACCGAUUUUAGUUUUUUAUACAUAAUGUCGUAAGAACGUUUGGUGUUGAUUGCUUUCCUGCAAUAAAGAUUUAGUUCUUUUAAUCGUAUAUUUUCUUUAUCGGUCCAUAGUUCGUCGUCAUUCAUUUGUGUUGUUAUGACCUUUUGUUUUGGAUAAUAUAAAUUUAUGUUUUUUUUUCGAAAUAAUUGCAAAUUUACAAUGUAUAUAAUAAUAUAAAAUGAUCAACUUUUUCUUUGUCACAUAUUGUAUAAUUGCAAAUUUAUAAUAUUUAAUCUGAUUCGUCUGUGAGCGUUAUGUUAUUCAUUUCUUUGAUGAUAGCCAAGUGAAUCUCCUGCUUCGCGGAGUUAUCGUCGAUGUUCAUGUUAAAGUCUGAAUUGGUUACUAAAUCUAGAUUCGGGAACUUAGCAUAUUUGUUAACCAACACAGAGUUAAGUGAAUGGUGAAGCUCAUUGACUUUCACAUGGUCAAGAGGCAAUCCUUGAUUGGUUUCGAAUAUUGGAGUAGGCUUCGUGUUCUUGCCUGGCAAGAGAGAAGGGUUCUGGAUCUUGUUCUUGUUCGGAUCUACUUUCACCUUCGGUUUCGGCUUAACCAAAUCACCAGGUGGCUUCGGAUUUGGUUUAGGCUUUGGUAUUUUUUUAGGAUUUGGUAUUUUGCUUCGACAUGGCUGAAAGUUAUCCUGAAUACUCGAAAGUAUAAGUCAACAAAGCUAUGAACUAUGGUUAUGGUUAUGGUUGUAGCGUAGCCUUAUUUUAGCUGACUUGUUUUGCAUUUCGUCGCGGUUUGGGGUCUUUAUCUUGUUUGUACGUUGACAGCCCAGCUCUUUUCUAAAAAAAAAAACGUUUUCGCAACGUGAUAUUAUCACUACGGAAUAUUAUUUUUCCGGAUGUUCAUCGUGUGCCACGCCUUAAUAAAUUCAUCCGUCAGGUCUUCUUCUCCAGCUAACGAUUUUGUAAACACUGUCACUCUGGUUAUUGUCUCUCCAUUGUGUUUGAGCGUUACUGGAACUUCCACUUCGUCCUUUUUAUUGUUCUUAUAUCUUCUCUUCACAUAUGGGACCAUUCUUCUUAUUUCCGUGUCCCAUGCCUGGUAGUACGCCAGGCACUCUUCAAAAUCGUUUAUAUAGGAUUUAGCCAUAUUUUUUUUUUGUUAUUUGUAUUAAUUAUCAUAUAUUUAUUGAAAUUGUUUUUUUAUGCAUUUAUAUCACACAUGCUUUUUGAUAAUUUUAUCGCUUUUUUAUGACGCGCUUUUCAAGUAGUGAGUAUAAAUAGUAAGUGGAUUGCUACGAUUAUUAAAAUUAUCCACAUUAAACUUUCAUGUUGUUGCAGAGCUUCGCUGUGCAAUUCUUGGUUGUUUAUUAUUUUAACCUGAGGGUCUCCAUUAUGAGACGUUUCAGUUUUAGAGUAAGUUUUACCCAUUAUUAUUGAGUUUAUUAUUAUUAUUGGAUGCGUCUAUGGAAAUUGCUACUUGGAGACAAUCAAUUUGAUUGUGGGAACUGGUUAGUUGAAAUGUUGGUUUGUGCUUGCGAAAAGGACAAUUGGAAUGUUGUCUGCAAUCGGACUGUGGGAAUUUGUUUACUAAAUGUAACUGGAUAUUUGUUCAAAAUGCUUGGAUGGAUAUGGAGUUUUGAGUUUUAGACUCAUAAACUCGGAAAGAUGGAAAAUGGGUUAUUUGGUUUAGUGUUUAGUUUAUGGGAUUGUAAAUUAGGAAAGGAAAUGUUAUUAUUUUGCGGUUUUAAUUAUGCUACAGAACGUUAUGCGAUUGAAGCUUAGAAGAUUCGAAUACGCUGAUCUUCCAUGCGCUUGCCUCGAAGUAUUCUUCUGGCCUAAUCAAAGACUUUUCAUCAAAAGUCGUCAUCAUAUGACCAAAGGUCGCAUGAGUGCCAAUUGUAACAACCACUGUAAGUUCUUUUUAAGUUCUAUUUCUAUUAUUUUUAUGACAAAUUGAAUGUUGGUGAAGCGGAGCUUCCAUAUUGUGAUGGGAGGAGGACUUGUGAUACCGUUAAGUUUGUGACAGAACUAUGGCUGCCACAAUAUAAGAAAAUCAAAUUCUUCUCUCGAGAGCUUUCCUGUUUGGAACUUAGUAUAAUCAACCACUAUAAUUUCGGAUAUGUUUUAGAAAUUCGUUUUUUGCGAACGUUAAUUGUUUAGUGAUCGAUUGUAAUCGCGGGAUUAGGCGUUUCUCAAUACGGCUCUAAAUUACAUUACUUCUUUUCAGAAGUCUAAAAACAUAAAAACACUCACGGACCCUGUAAUAAAAAUGUGAAUGGAAAAAAUUCGUCAUUCAUUUCGCGUGCAGAAAACACACUAUAUGGAAUUUCGCAAAAAAAUCGAUCCAGAAAAUCGUCUUCGCUGCGUGAUAUUAUCACUACGGAAUAUUAUUUUUGUUGAAACACGGACUUCUCGUUAAAAGUCGUCAUCAUAUGACCAAAGGUCGCAUGAGUGCCAUUUAACAUACAAUUCCGGAUUCUUGUAGUCAGUUGCUUCGUAUCCUUGGCCCUCCAAUUGUUUUUAUAUACUAGGGCACUGAGUGAGCCAAAGAGAUCCUCUAUUGGGCGGCACUGGGGCAAGUUUGUUGGGUUACGAUCUUCCGGCACGAACGGUAUCUUUUUCUCCUCAAGAUACGCCAGCGUCUUCUUGGCGUAAGGGGGGGGGGGGGGGUCGGCAGGGUUUUGAAGGCAGAAAAAAACAGGUUUGAAAGUAAAUUUAUUUCUGAUUAUUCAACAUUCAAGAGUAGUAAUUGAACUAUAUUCUGUAAAGUAUUGGUUAAAAAAUAUUGAAAAUUGACUGAAUGGUAGCAAUUCUUCGCAGGCGCCUCAGAAAAAAUACUUUUUGCGGUGCACGUCAUACCUCAGCACUGGAUCAUCUGAAAUGAAAUAACCAAAGUUUUUCCUUUAAUUUUUAUGUCCCUCUAGGUAUCUCUGUAGAGUUUUUCCAUUUUUUUUUUUUUAAUUUUUGAACUUUUUACAAGACUUGAAAGUGAAAAUACCGAUUUUUGGCCUAAAUUCAUGACUAUUGUUGUUAAUAAUAAAAAAAAUAAAAUCAAAAACAAAAAAAAAUCUCAACAGGGUUACCUCAUAAAUUAUGUAAGGAAAUACUGUAAAAAAUUUGAGAACGAUCGGUUGAAUAGAUUUUGAGAUACAGAGUGCACCGACUCAAAAGACAUCGAUUUGAGAAAAACGCGUUUAAAGUUUUUCGUAGCGAAAAGACCCCUAUAAAACUCAGUAAGCUAUUUAUUUUUUAUUUUACUCACAUAGGAUCAUCAAUGCCGGGACAUUCUUGAGUUACUAUACUUUCAUAAUAUGCAAUAAAAAAAAAUCACUUCUUUUGAACCCUCAAAACCCUACCCCCCCGUAAUGGGAAGACGCCUUGUCUGGCCAGAAGACGUACUUCCCAUCCGCGUGAUGCUCGUUCAGGAACGGCAGCAGGAUUUUAUCGAGGCACUCUUCUUGAUAGAUUUGUUGGUUGAUUGCCAAACCGCUCGGCUUAAACCAAGGCUUUGAAAUGCCCCGGUCGGAAAUGUAUUUCACUUCAGGCGGUGUGGAUGACUUGUCGCUGGAGUAGUAAUUAUCAUUUCCUGGAAUAUGCGUUUUGGACAGCGGAAAAUAGCUUCCGUCGUUCAGAACGAAAGACGUCCCGCGGUAUUUUUUGGUCAUCCACCGACACUGUGUUUUAACCGUCUCAAUCUGCUCCUCCGUGUACUCCGGCGACCUCGUCUUCUUCCUGCAGACGAUUCCUUCCAUCUUGAGGGUCCAAUGGAUCAAUACGUGGGAGCAGCCAUAUUUCCGACCGGCGUCACGCAGGCUGGUUGCGUCCUUGUUGUCAAACAGCUUCUUUAACGAUGUCUUCCAAAGGUUGAUUAUGACCAAAGGUCGCAUGAGUGCCAUUUAGAACAACCACUGUAAGUUCUUUUUAAGUUCUAUUUCUAUUAUUUUUAUCAAAAACAAAAGUGGUUCUGUUUGUCUCAUCAAAGCUAGGUCGUUUUAGAAUAUUUAAGAAAACACUAUCUGCCGAUUGUUGUGGCGUUCUGUAACAUUUUAUUAAGGAGCUAUUUAAUAUGACUAAAACAAUAACAUAUAAAAUUUAAAAAGUACCUCGCUUCUCAGGCUCUCUGGUAUUUCAAGAAUUUCAACACUUUCAGGCAUCUUUUCACAUUAGUUUUACCAUUACUUGUCCUUCAUGAUUGACAUAUAAAUCCACCGAAUGAGAAAUUGAAUUUCAUUGCGAUCGCUCCAUUAGUCAACCAGUAAGACUUAUGAAUAUGUCAACAUGUUAAACUUAAUAGACUCAUCGUUCUAUCGGUACCUUAACACACUAACAUAAGAAGUUCUUCAAAAAAUCGUCAUCAUAUGACCAAAGGUCGCAUGAGUGCCAAAAAAAAUCAACCACUGUAAGUUCUUUUUAAGUUCUAUUUCUAUUAUUUUUGCAAGCGCAUAAAAGCGUUCCUGAGUCUGUAAGUUUUUGCUUACCACCCCAGCUUUCACGGGGUCGAUUUACCCGGCGGGCGGCGAUGCACGGGGGUACUUCUACACAACGUAGAUUUACUUCGGUGGAAAUAAAUUUAGUUAAAACAAAUAAAUAACAAGAAUACAAUGAAUAAAAUAAAUAAAUAAAAGAAACGAAAUAAAAAAACUGACCUUCCGCUCUCCUCGCUGACACGUAGAAAUGGCGGGUCCUUGGCUUUUAGCUAAGGGGGCGAGCAGGGCUACUUUGGCGGAACCCCCUCAGCGACGGUGGUGAAAUAUCACCGGACAAACCUACUCACCGUAGACUGCCCCGGUAGCCACCGCGAUGAACUACCCAGGUGAACGCGCCUUCGGUUACACCUGCUUUACUCUCCUUGACGCUUAGCUACAAAGGGGAGACUUGGCUCGAUCGGCUUACCCUUUGUAGCGAGAGUGGCGAGCGUAUCAGGAAUCCUUUACACUUAGCCGGGGAAAUAUUUUCCCAUAUAUCGGCGAUCCCGCACUCAGUAAACAGUGACACAGUAACUGUCAAUAAACUCACAGGUCGGGGUCUUAUUACCAAACUUUCUUCACCCUCACCGAACGGUUUUCUAUCUUUCGCGCCAAGAACACGGCACUCCUCGCUUCGCACACAAUUUCUCCGGAUCAAAAAAAAACCGUCCAAAUCAGCUCGUGGUUUGUCACUUUCUUCUGGCUUCUUAGCGGUCUCAAAAAUUCCUCCUCCUUGAUGUUCACCAAAACAAACACACACAAAACAUUGGCAUCCUGCCACCGCGCUCGACCGUUUUACCGUUUAUGUUGUCGCCUUUUUUGCAGCGGGAGGAGCAACGGGCCCUACUUUCAUUUCACACGCGAUACAAUAGGGAACGAUAAUUUACCAUCUAACAUCUAAUACUUCUAACAUAAAAAUUUAAAUAAAAAUUAACACAAAAACUACGAAUUAAAAUAAAAUCAACAUCAUGCAGCGGCGAGCAUGUUGCUUGUCACUCCAACCAAAAUCAAAACAAAAACAACUCCUACACACAACUGACAAGCAACAUAUAUUUACACGCUCGGCGUUUAUUACACAAAUUUGGGUUAAUUGCAACCUCGAGGGUUGCAAGUCCUGUUUGACGUGUGUUUCGUCAUUAAACUACCGAGUUAGUUGGAAAUGUCACUAUUUUAACUCUUUUGCAUCUGACAAUCAACUGGUCUUUACCGUCACGAGUAAAUUUUUAAAAUAUUUCGACAUCAUUGUACUGUGAUUUCUUUCAAAUUCUAUUUCAAUUUUUUUGAACAUCGAUAAUUUAACACAAAAACGUUCACUCUUUGACAGUCACACGCAAUUUCCGUAGCGUUGGAGAAUGAGAAGACAUACGACUUACAAUUUGCAAAUUAACUUGCACGGAUUACAAAUAAUGCUUCGAGUCUAAACGAGUUUCGUGUUUCGAGUUGAGAUUAUAGAGCAGAAUGCUGUGUAAUUUAGUCAUCGAUCUUUAAGAGCUUUUGUCUUUCAAGCAAAACCAAACGUUCCUUCGUUUUCUGGCAUUUAACAAAGCGCUGGGCAUUUUCGUGUUUUGCAUUGUUCGAUAUCGUGACACAACAACAGAAAGACUUAUCUUAAUAUAUCGUAAGCCUUAAAUGUAAUAGAUACUAACAAUUGUUAUUUCUUUCAAAUUCUAUUUCAAUUUUUUGACCGAAAGAUUUGGUCAUACAUGUUAUAAUAAACUUUAGGGGUAUUUGAUAAUAAAAUAGUGACUUGUGAUAUAAGAGAUCAUACCUCUUGCUUUGAGGUUCAAACAUCGAAUCAUUUAUUCAGACCAUUUUGUUUUACAUCGGACUUCUACAUUCCAGUUUGCACUGCUUAAAUCUAGUACUACAAAAGAGAAAGGAAAAACAUACAAUUCUCACAUACUUGUGUAGCGGCGGCUGGGGCACUGGCUUUUUCCCUAUUAAUGUGAUAUUGCACUCGGCGUUUCACUAACAACUUCUUCCGAUUUACUUGGUGUUUAAUCACACAUCAACUUACACUACUUAUAACUACACUCUACCUUUACACCUUCCUUUUUUUUUUCUUCGGUGGGACUCCGUGGUUUCUCCUCACCGGCUUGAUCUCUACUCCACUGACUCAAUUCAAUUAUUCAAUUAUAUCCCUCUGGCCGCAGAACAGACCAGAUAGCUCCUCAACCGCGGUCCAACUUUUUCUUUUAUUUUGUAAACCUAAACAUAAACUUUAAACAAAACAUUGUUACCGUUGCGCAUAAACCUAAACAUUAACUUGACACAAACCUUGCUGCUCUGCUGCGCAUGACUAAGGUCAAUAACUGUUUACCUAAUGUGUUGUUCUUGAACUUCUUGCGACUGUGUUGCUUGUCGCAGCUUAUGUAAGUAAAAGGUUAGGUCAUUGCAAGAAAGCUAAACAAUUGUUGAACCGAGUUCCUCUAGCUGACCAACCUACUGAGAUGUUUUUUUUUUCUUUUUUUUUUUAUUUAUUUAUAAUUUCUCUUCUACGUAAUACUACAGGAAUCGAAACGAUACACUUGUCAUCCAAUCGCGGGUCAGCUUGGUGACGCCAACGCGAUUGGUAAAAGCAAAUACAUAACAUACAAGCAUGCAGACGUACGCCGCAAGCGCAGUCUGCUUGUAUGUUACUUGUUUAUUAUUCUGGCCUUCGCAGUAGGGCUCAUGUUGGGAUAGGUUCUGGAUAUAGUGUGAAGUAAUGAAAUUGGAUUCUUGCUCUGUGGCGUGAACUAGAGCACUUACCGAGUUUAUGCACCGGGACGGGUACAUUGGCUCGGCGAUGCAACACGUAAGGUUGGAAAUAAUUUAUUGUCUGAGAAAAGACAUGACCCAGAUUAACUGCUGGACAUGCACUUACAAUUGGUGAGAAUGUUAAGGAUUUGGUAAUCGUUUUGGGACUUGUGGGAAUCUUGAGUGGUUUGGUACGUGGGAAGCAAAGUGAAACUUGCUUCGGUUAUUCUAGAAAACAUGUGGGAAAAAAGUUCUUAAGGGUUUUACUGUUAAUUUACAGUCUUGGGAAAGUUAGUUCGAAACUUGUGGGAAAUUCACAUCUGGAGUAUAUCAUAAUGUGCUCGAUAUGGAAAGUUCUUGUCGCUUGAACUCUAGCUAAUAUUAUAGCUUGUCUUGAAGCAAUGAUUUGUCAAUCUCUUCAAAACUAGGUCGUUUUAGAAUAUUUACUGCGCCAUUGUCGUGACUCAGUCGGCCUUGAGUCUGAACAGUAAAGUGUAGGGGAUGUAGGUUUCGUCAUCGAGUGAUAUAGGGGGGGAGUGGGGGGGUCGUUUUGAAGGCGGAAAAAAACAGGUUUUUACAGAUUUUUUUUUUGGGCGUACGGUGAAAGUAAAUUUAUUUCUGAUUAUUGUACAUUAAAGAGUAGUAAUUGAACUAUAUUCUGUAAAAUAUUGGUCGAAAAAUACUGAAAAUUGACCGAAUGGUAGCAAUUCUUCGCAGGCGCCUCAGGAAAAAUACUUUUUGCGGUGCACGUCAUACCUCAGCACUGGAUCAUCUGAAAUGAAAUAACCAAAGUUUUUCCUUUAAUUUUUAUGUCCCUCUAGGUAUCUCUGUCGAGUUUUUCCAUUUUUUUUAAAUUUUUGAACUUUUUACAAGACUUGAAAGUGAAAAUACCGAUUUUUGGCCUAAAUUCAUGACUAUUGUUGUUAAUAACAAAAAAAAUAAAAUCAAAAACGAAAAAAUCUUAACAGGGUUACCUCAUAAAUUAUGUAAGGAAAUACUGUAAAAAAUUUGAGAACGAUCGGUUGAAUAGAUUUUGAGAUACAGAGUGCACCGACUCAAAAAACAUCGAUUUGAGAAAAACGCGUUUAUAGUUUUUCGUAGCGAAAAGACCCCGAUAAAACUUUAUUUUUAUUUUUUAUUUUACUCACAUAGAAUCAUCAAUGCCGGGACAUUCUUGAGUUACUAUACUUUCAUAAUAUGCAAUAAAAAAAAUCACUUUUUUUUAACCCUCAAAACCCUACCCCCCCAUAAGUGUCUACUCGGGUUUACUGUCAGUAUUGGAAUGAAUUGGUUUAUUCCCUCUAUGGAUAUCCGUUUAUAUAUGUUGGGUUAAUUCUCUGGAAUGUUUAGCGGAGAAGGACUGUUUGUAAAUGCGUAUCAUAAAUCUUUUAACGCCAUUUUUGAGUUCUGUUGGCUUAGCAAAACUGAUGGAAAAUUACGAUGCGAUGCAACAAUGUUGCUUGUUUGAAAUCUAACUUGAAUCAUGAAAGAAUGCAAGUUUGCCGCAAAUGCUUUUCAGACAAAAAGUGCACUUCAUUCCCUGCUAAGAAUUUUCUUCGCCCUGCCGUUGUCUCGUAGAAACGCACUCUUAUCCAAACUGCAAAGUUAGCACAUGUGAAUACUUGAGUUGCUAAUCUCUUCAAAACUAGGUCGUUUUAGAAUAUUUACUGCGCCAUUGUCGUGACUCAGUCGGACUUGAGUGUUUUGGGGCUGAGUCCAGCAGAGUCUUAUUCGUGGUUCUAUACCGUGAUUUCUCCGGGGACAUCACUCCGUGGUUUGGUGUGAUAAAAUUGGCGCGAUAAAUUCUUAUAUUACAUACAAAUGUCUAUAAAGCAUGAAGUCGACUGACGAAUACAAGGUUACAAUGACUUUGUGAAAGUCUCAGUCACCUCUACUAAUCUUCCUGGAUUAAAUCUGCAAUCUGCCUCGGUACCAGAACAUCCCGUUCAGUCUAUUGACAAAAUCUCGAGUGUACGUUAUAAUGUUUUAACACCACCUCUAGCGCGUUGUUUGUAUACUUUUCGAGGGAUAUCUCCGCGGAGAUGUCAUCGGAAGAUACCGGAAAUUUUCCCUAUACUUACCGUGUGUGCUUUUUGUCUUGGAAAAACGGCAUACUCUACGGGAUUGAUCACUAUAAUUUUUUUCCUAUCCAAUGAAAACUGGGGCAAGGGAAUUUUACCAACGCAGGAAGAUUCUCUCUGAUAUUUUUGAUUAUUUACUUGUCUAAGAAGGCAGUAGUAUUCCAGUAGUUCUCGCUGUGAAAAAGCAAAAAAGCUUCUUGAUCAUCUUGCUCUUCUGAAUAAACCGUGGUAUCUGUAGCCUGCAAGGUUCAUGAAAGAUCGACUUGAUAAUGGUAUCGUCUUAAUUUAUGUUCGUUCUGCAAAAACAAUCCAUUCUAUUGGAUUUUAACCGCUCUGAGAGUUGAUAAUUUGUAAGUCUCUUCAAAACUAGGUCGUUUUAGAAUAUUUACUGCGCCAUUGUCGUGACCGAAGCGAGCAACGACAUGUAACGUUUCAAAGCAUGUGACUUUAAAAGUUCUCAAGAUUAAUACCACCUGUAUCUCUAUUAAAAUUGUUGCCAGAACAAAAAACCUUAUCCUACCGGCUGCGCCAAUUAUGGAGUCUAGUCUAGAUAAUGAAGCGUGUAACUAUACAAAAAAAAACUGCAAACGACACUCGUCCAAGCGCAUUGAAGCUCAUUUUGUAUACAUUCUGUGGCCACACCAGGGCGUUUCUGCUGUCGUCAAUCAGAAGACAUACGACUUACAAUUUGCAAAUUUACUUACGACUGUUUGUUUGUUUUUGUAACUGGAA